GCUUACGGCCAUACCACCCUGAGAACGCCCGAUCUCGUCUGAUCUCGGAAGCUAAGCAGGGUCGGGCCUGGUUAGUACUUGGAUGGGAUUCCGCCUGGGCAUACCAGGUGCUGUAAGCU
rnacentral:rRNA from 1 species